rnacentral:rRNA from 1 species
GCGCGAAAACUUUACAAUGCUGGCAACAGCGAUAAGGGAACCUCGAGUGCCAGGUUACAAAUCUGGCUGUCGAGAUGCCUAAAAAGCAUUUCAUAGCAAGGGCCGGGCAAGACCGGUGCCAGCCGCCGCGGUAACACCGGCGGCUCGAGUGGUAACCGUUAUUAUUGGGUCUAAAGGGUCUGUAGCCGGCCGGAUAAGUCUCUUGAGAAGUCUGGCAGCUUAACUGUCAGGCUUUCAGGAGAUACUGUCUGGCUCGAGGCCGGGAGAGGUGAGAGGUACUUCAGGGGUAGGGGUGAAAUCUUGUGAUCCUUGAAGGACCACCAGUGGCGAAGGCGGCUCACCAGAACGGACCUGACGGCAAGGGACGAAAGCUAGGGGCACGAACC